rnacentral:lncRNA from 1 species
GAGGGCUUUUUACCCUGAGUCAGUGUUCGAAACACCACCUUUUUCACUAUGCUUCCCGAUGGUUCUCGAUUCCUGAAUUUUUUCUUGAAUUUACCUGUUAAGAUCAAAACUUAUGUCAAAUAUCAUGAAAAUAUGCAAAAAAAUGGCCAAAAGGUCAAAAUUCUCACCAGGGGCUGAUUUAGAACACAAGCCCUGAGUAUAUCCUCCAGUGUGCGAACGGUUCGCUCUGAUUAUCCAAAUGUCUGAGAGUGGAAUGUUAUGCUAAGAGACAAUUUAGUCUCCAUUACUUGUUGAAGACUUGUCCAAAAUUGAGAGAUGAACCUAGGGUCCCUAUACGAUACCACUGUCACCCGAACUCUCUGUAGUCUUAUAUCUCCUAAAUAUAGAUUCUAGCUAGUUCGUCUAAGGGAUCAAUCAUUUUAGUGGCUAGGAAAUGAGAAUACUUAGUGAGUCGGUCAACAAUCUUCCAG